AGAGUUACAGGUCAAGCGGCACACUCAAAAUCCACACUGAGGAACGCCUGGGCUUCGGAGUGAUGCAGGACAACCGCACACAGCCAACUGAUAUUCAAAUUCACUCAAACAGGCGAGGAGAAGCAUCAGCAAAUGGACUAGGAGCAUCUGAAUUUGGAUCAGCCUUCCGUCCGUUGUCACGAGCAGCCCGAGAGAUCAUGGAGAUUUGUGGUGUGGACCAGAGAGGCUGUGAAGACCCUGACUUGGACACAGACACGACUGAACACACAGUCCACCAUCUGGCACAGGAAUUAAGACUCAUUGCCAAGGAAACAGACACUCAGGCUCUGGUAAUUAAUACAAGAAACAGUGCAAGUCAAGAUCAGCAUGGAAAUCUGGGUUUCAAACGGGGUGGGGUCAGUGAGGAACAAAAGGAAGAAGAGGAGGCUGCGAAGAGAGACCAACAGAGCGUUCUCUUACUACCUUGAGACACACACUUAUAUGAGUCUUGUAAUAGACUACAAAACAGAAAAUCACACAAUGGAUAUAAUUUACAUGAUGUCCAUGUGGGGAAGAGGCUGGUGCAGAUGCUCUUUUACUUUAAGACUAAAUAGCUGUGUGCAAACAGAUGGAAAUAUAAAUGUAAUGCUUUGAAAUGGAAUAAAUGCUGUUUUGAUCUGA